rnacentral:rRNA from 1 species
UACGUAGGCAGCAAGCGUUGUUCGGAGUUACUGGGCGUAAAGGGUGCGUAGGCGGCUUUUUAAGUUUGGUGUGAAAUCUCCUGGCUUAACCGGGAGGGUGCGCCGAAUACUGAGAAGCUAGAGUACGGGAGAGGAAAGUGGAAUUCCUGGUGUAGCGGUGAAAUGCGUAGAUAUCAGGAGGAACACCUGUGGUGUAGACGGCUUUCUGGACCGUAACUGACGCUGAGGCACGAAAGCGUGGGUAGCAAACAGG